rnacentral:rRNA from 1 species
AAAUUGAAGAGUUUGAUCAUGGCUCAGAUUGAACGCUGGCGGCAGGCCUAACACAUGCAAGUCGAACGGUGACAGGAAACAGCUUGCUGUUUCGCUGACGAGUGGCGGACGGGUGAGUAAUGUCUGGGAAACUGCCUGAUGGAGGGGGAUAACUACUGGAAACGGUAGCUAAUACCGCAUAACGUCGCAAGACCAAAGAGGGGGAC